AACAAACGCUGGCGGCGUGCCUAAUACAUGCAAGUCGAACGGGGAAAGCUUUCGGGUGAGUACUAGUGGCGCACGGGUGAGGAACGCGUGGAUAAUCUGCCUUAGAGUGGGGGAUAACUAGUCGAAAGAUUAGCUAAUACCGCAUAAGACCACGAGAGCUGCGGCUUUUGAGGUCAAAGGUUUUUCGCUCUAAGAUGAGUCCGCGUAAGAUUAGCUAGUUGGUGAGGUAACGGCUCACCAAGGCGACGAUCUUUAACUGGUCUGAGAGGAUGAUCAGUCACACUGGAACUGAGACACGGUCCAGCCUCCUACGGGAGGCAGCAGUAGGGAAUAUUGCACAAUGGAGGAAACUCUGAUGCAGCGACGCCGCGUGAGUGAUGAAGGCCUUCGGGUCGUAAAGCUCUGUCGCAGGGGAAUAACACAAUGAAGGUCCCCUGUAAGAAAGGAUCGGCUAACUUCGUG
rnacentral:rRNA from 1 species